AGAGCGAACGCUGGCGGCAGGCUUAACACAUGCAAGUCGAGCGGGCGUAGCAAUACGUCAGCGGCAGACGGGUGAGUAACGCGUGGGAACAUACCUUUUGGUUCGGAACAACACAGGGAAACUUGUGCUAAUACCGGAUAAGCCCUUACGGGGAAAGAUUUAUCGCCGAAAGAUUGGCCCGCGUCUGAUUAGCUAGUUGGUGAGGUAACGGCUCACCAAGGCGACGAUCAGUAGCUGGUCUGAGAGGAUGAUCAGCCACAUUGGGACUGAGACACGGCCCAAACUCCUACGGGAGGCAGCAGUGGGGAAUAUUGGACAAUGGGCGCAAGCCUGAUCCAGCCGUGCCGCGUGAGUGAUGAAGGCCCUAGGGUUGUAAAGCUCUUUUGUGCGGGAAGAUAAUGACGGUACCGCAAGAAUAAGCCCCGGCUAACUUCGUGCCAGCAGCCGC
rnacentral:rRNA from 1 species